UGUCCAGUACAGAUUUCCUUUAAUAACUUGUUUAGGUGUUAACACUUGGCCAUUAUGUCUUUUCCUUGUUUUUCCAGGAAUGAUGGAGACUUAGAAACCAUUCUGCCUGUAGAAUCAGUCUGGUCCAUACCAGGGAUGCAGAUACUGGGCUGUGAGCUGUAAUGGAAUCAGAGAUACACGAGCUCCGAGGGCUGGCACUGCCAGUACAGCACGCGGGGACCGGCGCUGGCGCACACCUGGGCGCAGUACUGCCCAAACUCAGCUGCUACUUCUUUCCAUUAGCAAAAAAUGAGCCCUGGACACAGUGCUGAGACCAGUGACACCAACAUGAGCUGCCAAAACACCAAACGCCAACAGCCAGUCCUGCUCAGAAGAGCGGAGCGUGGGGACGCACCAUCUCCUCCCCAUAACUUGGCACUCUGAGGUUAUGAGAGCGUUCUCAGAGUAAACCCCAUCCUACACGAGCCGUUGCUGGUAAGACCCACCUGCGUGCACCGUGCUGCAGAGCAGGAUCAGCACUGCCAUCCAGACUCUGCCUGUGCCUGAUGCACAAAACCAUGUGUUUGAGGAAGUACUUCUGGAGUUUGAAAAGCAUUGCUGGGGUUUGAGCUGGCUGCGGGUGGAAAGACUGAGCCUGGAAGGAAACCCCGUGUGAAAUCCCCAGCCUGCUUUGCAGAUGUUGGGCUGCUUCUGGGUGAGAUUUCAGCUUUUGCAGAUGUCUGAAACACUCCUAGUGGGCUCGGUGCCUCGCUGCAGUAAAUACAGGGUGAGUCCAAUGGUUUGGGUUGGGGGCUCCAGUUUUGAGCAGUGAUGGAGAAUGAGAACUAUGCUGCACACAGAUUGUCAGACCGUUGUACAGCUCUGUGCUCCAUGCUGGCUCAGCAGGCUUCCAACAGGACAAGCAUAAGGCACACCUGCAUCUCACAGCAACUCCUCCAAACCCAAAUACUUCCCAGAGACUCAUCCUGGAGAUGCCCAUGUCGUGUAAGUCCUCUGAUAGUGCUGCCUUGGUCUGAUAUGGUUAUUCCUCGCUGGUAGGGCAUGGCAUAAAAGGGAUUUUGCUCUCCAUGCUCUGACUACUGUGCACAGAGCUGCGGGGCUGUUUGUCCAGCAGUAAAAAAAACACUUUUUAACAAUGCUCUUUUUUUUUAAUUAAAACAAACAAACAAAAAGACUGAACAACCAGGCAGGAAGAAGUCCUCUUUUUCCAAAAUAAUCAGUGGUGAAUUUGGGAAAGCUGGAGGGAGGCCAAGGAGCUGCAGCAGAGUGAAAGUUAGGUGACUUUCCCAGCAGUGGGCAGGGACACGUCCACAGCAUCCCCCCACUGCCACAGGAGCAUCGAGCCCUGGCGGGCAGCGCAGCCUCUGCCUCCUUCCCUUGCUACCAGAUAAAGAGGACAGGCUCUCCUUUUUCAGCCCAUUCUGCUCACACAAUGGGAGAAGGGGAUCAGCGCCAACAUUACAAGUGUGAGCCCUUAAUGCACCAGGUUGAACAAUGGGCUUCAGAGGCGUCUGCCUUGUACAGCGAGUUCUGACUACCCAGCGCCAUGGAAAGAAACCUCAUUGUGCUGGCGAAAUGCUCACCAGAAUGAAAACAGCCUCCUCCUCCUUUCUUCAGCUUCCUAAUGGGAAGCAAAAUAACAAACCGGGCCCACAAUUAAACAAACAUGCCACUAACCGAGCAGAGCUCAAGUGGAACAGAUGUUGCUGCAGUUGCACCAGGCUGGGGGCCGGGAGCAGCCGUGCUGGCUGUGCUUCCCAGGACGCUGUGCCACUCACCUCCUCCUUCCCACCCAUCUCUCGUCCCUUUUCUCCAGUGCACCCUGUCCUCUCUCUCCCCCUCAGUUUUCAAGUCAAAAACCCUCCUAGUUUGCUAAGGUUGGUUUUGCUGGGCUAAGGAGUUCUCCUUCCAAAAUGUGGCAUCUCUGCAAUACAAGAGAUGUAGUGUUGCAGAGGUGAGAGAGAUGGCUGAAGAGUGGAAACCAAAAGUGAAGCUGUCUGAAUCCAUCUUUUCUGUACAGUCCAUGAUGGGGUCUUAUUACUCUGAGGAUUAAGGCCCCUAAGUCCCCACCUGUCACCAACUGAUGCUCCCUCAGCUUUACAGGGAUCUGUUCCCUCCAUCUCCAUGGCAAAGGGAACAAAAUAAUUUGGCACGUCCUGGAACAGGAGGCUGGAUGGCCUUGCUUGCUCCCUGCAAAGCUGUGUCAGGGCCAUUUGCUGCUGGAGGAGCCAGAGGGACUUGGGGUCAGAGAAAGCCCAGCAGCCCUACAGGAUUGGGUGCAGCCUGGUCAGGUCUUGGGGUCCUUCCUUGGGGCAGAAUCAUUGAGUCCAGAGAUACUGACCACGGCAGGUUCCAGGCUCCCUCUCAUCAGGAAGCCACAUUCACCAGCACCUCACUUGUUUGGAAAAGGCACACAGGGCUGUGAUAUGGAGCACCUGUAUGUACACAGUUAUGACUCUUCUUGUUUUCUACCUGCUCUUGCCAGCGAGGGACCUGUGCAGCAGAGCUUCACUUUGCCAUGGGCUGUUGUAGCACGGCAACUUCUGCAACUAUUAUUAGAAUCCUGAAGACGAAAGAAAAGUUACUUCUCUUUCUCCUUCAAGCAGGGGGAGUUGGAAGAAGUGGGGAGAGCCCUGACAUCUUCCAGGAGCUGUCUCAGGAAAGGGACUGGAGCAGCCUGAAGGCCACAAGAGCCAAAGUCCAGCAGCACAGCUAGGGACACAAGCAUCCCACACACAGGACUAUUUCGAUGGAGCCAGAGAAGUGAUGACACAAAUAGCUGAUGACACAAAUAGUUCUGAUGGCAGAGCAGCAGAGGUGGCAACCUCUGGAUGGGAUCCAUGAGCAGCAGCUGCAGACAGGCACCUCUUCAUGGAGCUGGAACAGGAUGUACGGCCCAGGGCUCCUGUCACCAUCCCUGCAGUAUCACCAGAAAAGCUGUGAUCCAGAUGAGCCACAGCCUCCUUCCUGAGCAAUAAGUAAUGCCCUAAGAAAAAGAGUUUCUUGAUUGCACACAAAGGCUGGAGCAAAGCCCUGAGAUGCUGCUGUACGUAUGGGGACAGUGGCAAGGUCCCUACUUAUGAUUGCCCCCUCCCAGGGCUGCAUGUCCUUGUCAGGGCGAGGAGCAGCAUGGAACAAGUGAGCACUGCCAUGGCAAACUGAGCUGUGGCUGAAGGUUUUUUCUGAUAUCCUGGGCUGCCAAUUCAGAACUUGCCUGAAACCCGCAGUAAAAUUCGCCUUCGAUUCCUUUUUAGGAAAAGAAGGCUGUAGUAUAAAGUUCCAUUUUCUAGGCAUUAAAUUUUACAGUCUGCACCAUUAAAAGCAGCAUUCUGUGUCAAACUUAAUGUUUGGUCUUCAGGAACAGCUCAGAGGAAAAGAGAAGGUUCCCUGUUUGUUCUACAAAACAGGAAAGCGGUUGCUUUCUAUACUGUAAAUAUGCAUUAGGGAAGCUCUUAUAGACUCGUGCUGGGGAUUUGAUGUUUUUAACUGACUACAUUCCUUACAUUUUUGUAUAACUGCCAAGAAAGCUGAAUAAAAUGGCUUUUUUAGUGUUUUCUCUAAGAAUAGCCCCGCUUCUUUGUAAAUAUAGCAAAGGAAUUGUUGAUAAUAAUUCUUUGGGAGAAUAACUGGUGUUAUUGAUGUUAAAAGGAGAAAGAUUGCUGUUUCUCUGUCUCAGAAAUACAGCUAUCCAAGUGGGCUGGGACUUCAGAAAGCCUGAGCAUUCCUCAGCCAGUGACUGAGAUUAGACUGGUUUCAUUCCUAUGCCAAAAGGUGUAGAAAUCAGAAAGAGAAGA